rnacentral:SRP_RNA from 1 species
CAUACAACAAUAGUUCUGCUGACAACUCCAAUCGGUCUACUUCGAAGCCGUCGUCUGGCAUACCAAUUUUUGCAAUGGGCCAAAGUGGUCCAAAUUA